rnacentral:rRNA from 1 species
ACUCCUACGGGAGGCAGCAGUGGGGAAUAUUGCACAAUGGGCGCAAGCCUGAUGCAGCAACGCCGCGUGAGCGAUGAAGGCCUCGGUCGUAAGACUCUGUCCUCAAGAAGAAUAAAUAGACGGUACUUGAGGAGGAAGGCCCGGCCGUAACUACGUGCCAGCAGCCGCGGUAAUACGUAGGGGCGAAGCGUUAUCCGGAAUCACUGGCGUAAAGGGUGCGUAGGCGGUUUUCUAAGUCAGAAGUGAAAGGCUAUGGCUCAACCAUAGUAAGCUUUUGAAACUUGUUAAACUUGAGUGCAGGAGAGGAAAGUGGAAUUCCUAGUGUAGAGGUGAAAUUCGUAGAUA